UUUGUUCAAUUAAAAUGGAAGUUAAUUUGUAAUAAUUGGUUUACUUGUUCAAAGAAAAGGCUUAAUAUCUAGCUAGCUUGAGUUAGCCUAUAUUUAAUAUAGUGUUAUGGUUAUGUGAUGAGCCUGAGUAUAGUUUAACACAUCAGCCCAGUCUAGUCUGUAAAGUUAUUGAUACGCAGUCAGGUUUUUUUUUUACACAUUAAUCUGAAAAUGAAUGUAGCACACCCAGUUUUUAAAAUGUACAUCCAGAGACUCUUUUCUGGCUAUGUGGACUCAAUAUGAUCAUAACUCAGUUGUUUUCAUAUCAGAGCACAGAUGAGGUGUAGCUGCUUCAGAACAGAGAGGGUGAGAUAGGGAAAAGCAGUAGCAGCACAACGUUACAGGUGGCUCCAAACUGGUCAGGUCAGGUUUCCUGCUUCGUCUUCGAGUUGCAUGAGAAGUGUCAGACGAGCGCGAGGUUUCUUUUUUUUUUCCCGACAAUGCAAUCACUCUGGCAGCUGCUUAGGUGGCUCCAAACUGGUCAGUUCAACCUCUCCUGCUUCUUCUUCGAGAAGUCUGUUAGUCAUUCGGUGGCUUUUUUUCCAGACAGUAUCAUGACUUAGGUAAGCACUGUUUUAUAUCAUAUUAAGUAAAGGGAUUUAAUUAUUGUUAAGGAUA